AGAUUGAACGCUGGCGGCAGGCCUAACACAUGCAAGUCGAGCGGUAGAGAGGUGCUUGCACCUCUUGAGAGCGGCGGACGGGUGAGUAAUGCCUAGGAAUCUGCCUAGUGGUGGGGGAUAACGUUCGGAAACGGACGCUAAUACCGCAUACGUCCUACGGGAGAAAGCGGGGGACCUUCGGGCCUCGCGCCAUUAGAUGAGCCUAGGUCGGAUUAGCUAGUUGGUGAGGUAAUGGCUCGACCAAGGCGACGAUCCGUAACUGGUACUGAGAGGAUGAUCAGUCACACUGGAACUGAGUACACGGUCCAGACUCCGUACGGGAGCAGCAGUGGGGAAUAGUUAGA
rnacentral:rRNA from 1 species